rnacentral:lncRNA from 10 species
AGAUGUGGUCUCACUGUGUUGCCUAGGCUAGUCUCAAACUCCUGGCCUCAAACUAUCAUCCCACCUUAGCCUCCCAAAGUGCCGGGAUCACAAAUUUGUCCCAUAGCAUAAGAUUCACACUCAAUACUAUCAUCCUUUGGGUCUCUAAGACACCAACCUAAAAAUUUCUUCCACCGGUUGUGAUUUUGUCCCAGGAGAAUGUGUGCACACGGUGGCCACCAGAGGGAGCCCUUCAGCGACAGAGGAUGAGAGCUGCAGGAUGGUCAGAGGAAACCCAAUCCACAUUGGAACAAGGCUUCUUAAGACAUGGAUGUAAUUUGGUGGUGCGGAAAAAUCAGAGUGUUCAAAACAAGGAUAGGGUUCAGGAGGAGGACUUGAAAAAAGAUCGUCUCAGGGUUGUGAAAGAAGAUACAAUCAGCAAGCCUCUGAGAAAUCACAGCUGAUGACUAAGUCCACAGUCUGCUCAUAAAAUGUAGAGUUAUAGCUCUUGCUCUCACCACUGUCUCUGAUGAGUCUGAAGAAUUGUGAAUCACUAAAAGUCUCUACUUCUUUAAAUGUCUAGAAAGACUGUUCAAAUCACCUGGAAAGCUUGCACUUUUUUUUUUUAAUCUAGAAGACAAUAAAAAGUUGCAACAUCCUCUCUCAGAUCAGACCCAUCUGUUCCUUUACUCAUUCAUUCAACUCUUAUAUAUUAAUUCACUGACUUUUAGGUACCGGGAAUAAUUUCUGAGAG